CCAGUCCCAGCAGGGGUGGGAAGAACCCCUCCUCCAUCCCCUGUGCUGAAUGGGCUAUAGUCCUGGGGAAGGAACGACAGACAAUGAGAACCCUGCACCAACUGUCUUAAGGAGCUGCCCUGCCUCGGGCAGGGUGAUGGGGCUAUCCUGGGUUGUGCCUGGAGUGCUGGAAGCAAUCUCUCCCCGCCCCCCCCAAAUCUGUUUGUAAAAGCGGUGUGUCAUGUUGAACAGCUUUGAUGAACACAUGGGACCAGCUGCAGCCGUAACAUGAAGCAGAUGUGUGCAAUUCUUUCUGAAUCUCUCGCCCUGUGCAGCAAGGGAGGGUUCUGUGAUCUGUAUCUCGAAGCACCGCUGGAAGGACCAUGGGAUCAUGAGCAGUCGUGCCCUUUAAAUCUCCGCCAGCAUUUCCCAGAGAUGCGCUCGUUAAAAGACAAGGCAUGCUGAGGGUUUACAGAACCACCUUGUCAGUCAGUUGUGGAGGCCUGGGACAGGGGAGAAUCGGGCUCCAAUCACGACAUUUGCAAUUCCAAGUGAGGAUUUAGAGACCGGGAUUGUUCGGUUUGCAAAUACUGUGGCGGUGGGGGCAAGAUGCUGAUAUCAACCGACCUCUCAAGGUGCCAAGAAAUCUGCGGGUGUCAUCGGUCCGUGACGCAGCCCUUCAUCCCUUUGGUCAGGAGCGUCUCCCAGUGUACCUGAUAUCACCGGGGGUGGGGGGGAGACCGCUCCAUGUUUGAAGAGCAACUUUUGGCACUUUGCAUGUUUGUUCCCUUCCCUAAUCAUCCUUUGCUGCCUUUCCUGAGGGCAGCGGGGGUGAGAGUUAAAGGUCGAAAAGUCACUGACGUUUUAGUGGGAGCUUUAGAACAACUUAAAAAACAAACAAACAAAACCACCCCAGGACUUUGGCCUUUCAGAUCAAUGUUGUAAAUAUAUAGGGCCAGACAGUGCUCAGAUCAGUGCAGAUGUGGGGAAAGGUAGAAGGGGGCUGAUCGUUGCCCUCCCUGUAGAACGGUCGUUGCAUCAGUGCAGAAUACAAUGGAACGAGAAUUUUGCCGCCACUUUGUACUAGUGUAAAUGACUGCACUGGGUACAACGUAACAAUGCAUUGGGCCCAGAGGAGUCUUGGCUCCAUUUGUCUCCCCAGCUAGGUACGAACGUGGGCCUGGAGCUUCCUGACACACACACACACACACACACACACGGUCUAAUAGAGGCAAUAGGACCAGCAAAUCUGACUGAGUCGAGUUAGAUGACGUGCUGCUGACCCCCAACUGACCUGCUUGGAACAGGGUUUAAUUACAAUUAGCUGGAUGCUACUUGUCCUAGUCUGUGCUGCCAUCGGUCCCAUAUCAUUGGAUCUACGGGGGCCUUUCACUCCGGCCACCAAGCAGCUGUCACAUCCUACGCACCAUAAAACUCCUCCAAACUGCUCUGGGGUCUAAACAGGCCACCUAGUGGUGGCGUUUCCCUCAUUUAAGAUCCUUACCUCUAGUACAGCUGGAAUUCAGUGUGCUAGAGAAGUGAAACCCCUCCUGGUGCUAGUCUUGGCCACCAUCAGCAUGUUGUGUUCUGCUUCUUCUGCUUUUCUCUUGUCUUCCUGCUCCCCACGGCAGUUUGAGCUUAAUUACCCCCGACUGAGGCCAGGCUGCAGAGGAAAUAUGUGUGAGAAGUCACCUGACGCGCUGGUUGCUGUUGGCUGAUUCUUUGAACUUUGGAAAUGACCUUGCUGCUGGUGGUAAGUGUUAGCCAGUGAAGUGCUUGGAGCAGCUCUGGGUAGAGCUGAUAGACCCCAUAAACUACCUCCUCCUAAGAGUGGAUUCCUGCUGCAGCCCCUGGAUGAAGAAGAAUUGUAUCUGGAUUCCUGGCCUUGCCCAGCACGGGUUAUGGCUGCAGCCCAUAGUUAGUGUAGUUAGGGGGUAUGGGGUAUCCACUUAGCAUGUAGGUUCGCAGUAGAACCUAUAAUUUAGAUUCUUAGCUCUUUGGGGCAGGGUGUGACUUGUACAACACCUAGCACUGCGGGGUCCUGGUCCAUGACUGGGUUAGCAGCAUUACUGCAAUACAAAUAAUAAAUAACACGAUAGCAGCGUUUGUCCAGAUCUGUGCCAGAUAAAGCACCGUUCCCUAUUGUGAUAGCCUGAGAGAUGCCAGCAUGGUGUCUCCCUCACGCAUGCAUGAUGGGCCUCCAACUAGGUCAUGAUAGAGGCUGUAUAUUUAAAGGACACUAUCCUGCAAGGUGCUGAGUGUCCAAAACUCCCAUGGGUGCUGUGGGGAAUCUGGGGAUGAGAGAGAACCCAAGAGCUCCAAGCCAGAGGAAAGUGACCUCUUGGUGGCAUUCCAGUGUGUGUCCUCCACUGCUGUUUGGGCACCCAGAGCUGGGCAACUUUUAGAGGAGACAAUGCAGAGAAAUGAACGAACAUGGUCACUGAUCAAACAAACAGAGGUGCACUAGGAAGCAUGUCAGAGGGUGAGGUGGGGGAAGCAACCUUCUCCUGGGACCAGCGACACCCCGGUUGAGCUGCUGAUCUCUGCACAGCUACCGGUGAAAGGUGUUAAUUGCAGUGGCUGCUGAGCCUGGAGUUAAGCAAAGGGAAGCUCGACCUUCAGCUGUUAAUCUUGCCUUUAACAGCCCCAGCCAGCAAAGCUCCACACGGCAAUCCCAAUUAAAGCCAGGUUCUUGCAGCCUUACAAGUCUGAGGCUGAUGAGGCCAGUGUCUGGGAAGAUUAGACUUUAAUUAAAGCUCCAGCCAAGCACCUGUCUAGGUCUCCGUCUCUUUUCUUUCCUUCCCAUGCGUGCUUGUAGUUCACAUUGUAGGUUCUCUUCAUAGCCUCUGUAGAUCCAGCUCCCAGUGUUCUGAUGCUUUGGAACAUAGGAGCUGCCCUCCCGGCUCAGACCCACCUCGUUCAGUAUCCAGGCUUUGGUAGCGGUCAGCACCACCUGCUUCUGAGGAACCUGUCCCUGGGAACAGUCGUAGAAUUUAAGGCCAGAAGGGACCACCGGAUCACCUUGUCUGACCUCCUGUAUAACACAAGCCACUAUAUGCUACCUACCCAUCCCACCUCAGCUUUGCCCCAAAGUGUGACAGCUCUCAGGAAGCUAAACUGCUGUCCACCACAGAUGGAGAGCAGGGGAGACCAAGGUGCACCGAUGGCUGGGCAGGGGCAGGGAAUUGAUUUAAUGAGAGAGACCCCCUCUCUUCCUGACAUCUGUUAGAGGUUGGCUCCUGCCCUGAAGCACGAGGGUUUCAAUCUCUAGCCAAACUCUUGGGGACUUGGUGGGGUGCGUGUUUGUUUUUAAAUCCUCACUGUUCUAACCCUGCAUAUGCUCGUUAUCCAUGUAUAUGUACAAUCCUUCUUUGACUCCUACUGGCCUCUUGGCUUCAGAGCCCCCUUGGCUUCUUGUCUGCUCUACCGCACCAGAGAACCUAGUGUGAGUUUAAAAAAAAAAAAAUAGUGACAUGAUUUUAAAACUAAACGUCAAGGGAACCACCUUGAGUUUUGGGUUUUAACCCUUCCCCUCUGCUGUUUGUGAACCCAAGCGCAGGAGAGCCAGUCAAUGAAACUUAAUUGUGCUCUCAAGGGCUGCGUCCACAGUGGGAGCAGUUUAUUGUUCUCGGAAUCCCAAAACACUAUCCUGACAAAGGGCUCCUAGAGCGGACACGGCUUGUAUUGGCAAAGCCGGGCUUUGUGCCAGUUGAGUUAAAGCCACCGCAGGGUUGCCAAUUAGCCCCAUUAUUUACUGGCCGUCUUGAGCUUUUUGGUGUUUCUCUUAAAACCCCAGCUUCUGGAGUUAUGGCUCUCAUAGUCACAGAGACAAGCUUGAAAAUGCAUCUCCCAAAGGCUCCAAAACCAGAAAGUAACAAGUCCCAACAUUUAUUUAUAUAUACUUUCAAUCUCUUGAUUAUUUUGUGGCCCAGCUCCUCUGGGGAGUGAUGCUUGGGGAGUGACAACACAGCUGGUCGAAUCAAACGAUUGUCUCUCGGCUUGGCUGCGCCCUGUUUCCUCUGAUGCUCUGUGCUGCAGGUGAAAACAUCACUCCCAUCUUGAGAGUAAGAGAUGGAAAAUGAGAACACAGGUUUUUGCAGCAGGGGGGAAGGGGAAUUGGUAUGUGGUGCAAAGAGAAAGAUCUCAGCCAUGUUCCCCAUUGUACUGUAUUUAUUGCUCUAACUGGACUCUCCGUGGGGAGAAAAGCCUUGUAUCAACCUCAUCCCCUGCAAGGUAACCCUAGCAGAAUCUUAUUGCCAAAUUAUAGCUGAGCAUAGUCAAAACCCAUAAACAGCAUGGCUCUGUUUUGCCUUGCUCCUCCAAGAGAGAGGAGAAUCAGCUGCAUAGGGUUUAAAAUAAGGUUUCCUUGCCUCAGUUAGGGAUGAAUGCCUGGAAUAUUUGAACUGAUUUCCCCAACUUGUGCCCUUUCUUUACUUUUUGCCUUCCGCUCAAGUCAUGUCUACGUUUGACUUCUGCCAACCGGCUCUGUUGGUGUGGGCUGUGGCAAGGUGCGAUUGCUGACUGACAGAACCCUGUAGCAUAGACGCAGCUCUAACUAACGGCCCAUCCACCUUAUUGGUUCUCUCUGCACAGCUCUCCAUCGUGUUGAUGUUCGCUGCUGCGGUGCUGGCCGCUGGUAAUAAGAACUGGGAGCGGUAGAUAGCUGGCAGAAGCAUUCACCUCUUUCUGAGCUUGCUGCAGAAUCAGGAACCCGUGUCCCUUUGCAUGUAACUCUGCCGGCUUUAACUAAGACCAAAAUGGGCAACAGGCUGUCAGGUUCCAUUUGAAAACUUUCAGAACAGAUUGCUCCCUUUCU